CACGUAGGGCGCGAGCGUUGUCCGGAAUUAUUGGGCGUAAAGAGCUCGUAGGCGGCCUGUUGCGUCCGCUGUGAAAGCCCGGGGCUUAACCCCGGGUCGGCAGUGGAUACGGGCAGGCUAGAGGUAGGUAGGGGAGAAUGGAAUUCCCGGAGUAGUGGUGAAAUGCGUAGAGAUCGGGAGGAACACCGGUGGCGAAGGCGGCCAGCUGGCGCUGACCUGACGCUGAGGCGCGAAAGCCAGGGGAGCAAACGGG
rnacentral:rRNA from 1 species